CGCGAACGUUGGCGGCGUGCCUAACAUAUGCAAGUCGUGGGGCAGCAGGCUACUGUCUUUUGGCAGUAGUGCUGGCGACCGGCAAACGGGUGAGUAACACGUAGCUUACCUACCCAUAGGUUGGGGAUAACAUCCCGAAAGGGGUGCUAAUACCCAAUAAUGAGGAGACUCCAAAGCCCUUAUGGGCGCCUAUGGAUGGGGCUGCGUCCCAUCAGCUAGUUGGUGAGGUAAUGGCUCACCAAGGCUACGACGGGUAACCGGUCUGAGAGGAUGACCGGUCACAGUGGGACUGAGACACGGCCCGCACCCCUACGGGGGGCAGCAGUGGGGAAUAUUGGGCAAUGGCCGAAAGGCUGACCCAGCAACGCCGCGUGGUGGAUGAAGCCCUUCGGGGUGUAAACACCUUUUCUGGGGGAAGAUAAUGACGGUACCCCAGGAAUAAGGGACGGCUAACUACGUGCCAGCAGCCGCGGUAAUACGUAG
rnacentral:rRNA from 1 species